AUUGGUGGUUUGCUGCAGAAAUCCAUAAAAAUUGUUUCUGCUGUUGACAUGGCAAAUGACAAAGAGGAGAGGUGAUAGAGAGGGAUACAGAAGAGUAACCAGGCUGGUGUAGCGACCCUCGGUUACCUCCUUGUGCUGCGUUUGUAGAAAUCAUGGCUCCUGUAUUUUCUCAUGAAGCUUGGCGAUGUGUGUGGCAUUUGAUUCAGGUA